rnacentral:rRNA from 1 species
UGCGUAGGCGGAAAAUUAAGUCAGUGAUGAAAUCCUGCAGCUUAACUGUAGAACUGUUAUUGAUACUGAUUUUCUUGAAUAUAGUUGAGGUAGGCGGAAUGUGUAAUGUAGCGGUGAAAUGCUUAGAUAUUACACAGAACACCGAUUGCGAAGGCAGCUUACUAAGCUAUUAUUGACGCUGAGGCACGAAAGCGUGGGUAGCAAACAGGAUUAGAUACCCUGGUAGUCC